CAUAAGUAUGUAAUUAAAGACAUCAAAUACACCGCAUAAAAUAAAGUAAAGUAAAGAAUAGUAAAUAAAGGAAUGUUUUAAUGAGGAACAGUGAAGAGUAAUGAAAAUAAGUCAAUAAUUAUGAAGUGUAAGUUUUAAUUUAAUUGUACGUUUGGCUUCCUCAAAGCGAGCCGGGAUUAAAGAGUGUGAAAUAAAUUUGCGAUUUGGAAAUUCGUAACUUGGAUUUAAAGCAUGUACAAAUUCUUUGAAUCCAAUAUUAUCAACUAUUUGAAAAGUAUGUGCUGAAGUGUCCUGAAAUGUUCACAGUAGCAAUGGCAAUACGUUACUUGGACCAGGUUGAGAAUUUGUAGUAUGUUCUGAACUGUCUUGAGUUGUUGGCAAUAUGAUAAUAUUGCUUGGUCCAGUUUGAGGAACUUCUGGAUUAUCAGGAUCAGUUGCGGACUGUGAUGACUGUGGGUAGAAAAAAUGGAAACAUGGAGAAAUACAUUCUACAAUCAAUAGAUAUAUGAAAAAGCAUGCAGGAAAAUGUUUUUAGAUUAGAGAUAAUUACAGUGUUAAUACGUACAAACAAAAAUAAAUAUUUUUGUUAUAUUUUUA